rnacentral:rRNA from 1 species
GACGGAGGAUGCAAGCGUUAUCCGGAACGAUUGGGCGUAAAGCGUCCGCAGGUGGCAGUUCAAGUCUGCUGUCAAAGACCGGGGCUUAACUUCGGAAAGGCAGUGGAAACUGAACAGCUAGAGUAUGGUAGGGGCAGAGGGAAUUCCUGGUGUAGCGGUGAAAUGCGUAGAGAUCAGGAAGAACAUCGGUGGCGAAGGCGCUCUGCUGGACCAUAACUGACACUCAGGGACGAAAGCUAGGGGAGCGAAUGGG